UACGAAGGGGGCUAGCGUUGCUCGGAAUCACUGGGCGUAAAGCGCACGUAGGCGGAUUGUUAAGUCAGGGGUGAAAUCCUGGAGCUCAACUCCAGAACUGCCUUUGAUACUGGCGAUCUCGAGUCCGGGAGAGGUGAGUGGAACUGCGAGUGUAGAGGUGAAAUUCGUAGAUAUUCGCAAGAACACCAGUGGCGAAGGCGGCUCACUGGCCCGAUACUGACGCUGAGGUGCGAAAGCGUGGGGGAGCAAACAGG
rnacentral:rRNA from 1 species